AACGAACGCUGGCGGCAUGCCUAACACAUGCAAGUCGAACGAGACCUUCGGGUCUAGUGGCGCACGGGUGCGUAACGCGUGGGAACCUGCCCUUGGGUUCGGAAUAACUCCCCGAAAGGGGUGCUAAUACCGGAUAAUGUCUUCGGACCAAAGAUUUAUCGCCUUUGGAUGGGCCCGCGUUGGAUUAGCUAGUUGGUAGGGUAAAAGCCUACCAAGGCGACGAUCCAUAGCUGGUCUGAGAGGAUGAUCAGCCACACUGGGACUGAGACACGGCCCAGACUCCUACGGGAGGCAGCAGUGGGGAAUAUUGGACAAUGGGCGAAAGCCUGAUCCAGCAAUGCCGCGUGAGUGAUGAAGGCCUUAGGGUUGUAAAGCUCUUUUAACCGGGAUGAUAAUGACAGUACCGGGAGAAUAAGCUCCGGCUAACUCCGUG
rnacentral:rRNA from 1 species